rnacentral:rRNA from 1 species
UACGGAGGGAGCUAGCGUUGUUCGGAAUUACUGGGCGUAAAGCGCGUGUAGGCGGCUCGAUAAGUCCGUUCUGAAAGUCCAGGGCUCAACCCUGGGAUGCGGAUGGAUACUGUCGAGCUCGAGUCCGGAAGAGGCGAGUGGAAUUCCUGGUGUAGCGGUGAAAUGCGCAGAUAUCAGGAGGAACACCAAUGGCGAAGGCAGCUCGCUGGGACGUGACUGACGCUGAGACGCGAAAGCGUGGGGAGCAAACAGG